rnacentral:rRNA from 1 species
UGGGGAAUUUUGGACAAUGGGCGAAAGCCUGAUCCAGCAAUGCCGCGUGUGUGAAGAAGGCCUUCGGGUUGUAAAGCACUUUUGUCCGGAAAGAAAUCCUCUGGGUUAAUACCUCGGGGGGAUGACGGUACCGGAAGAAUAAGCACCGGCUAACUACGUGCCAGCAGCCGCGGUAAUACGUAGGGUGCAAGCGUUAAUCGGAAUUACUGGGCGUAAAGCGUGCGCAGGCGGUUUUGUAAGACGGAUGUGAAAUCCCCGGGCUUAACCUGGGAACUGCAUUCGUGACUGCAAGGCUAGAGUAUGGCAGAGGGGGGUAGAAUUCCACGUGUAGCAGUGAAAUGCGUAGAGAUGUGGAGGAAUACCGAUGGCGAAGGCAGCCCCCUGGGCCAAUACUGACGCUCAUGCACGAAAGCGUGGGGAGCAAACAGGAUUAGAUACCCUGGUAGUCCACGCCCUAAACGAUGUCAACUAGUUGUUGGGGAUUCAUUUCCUUAGUAACGUAGCUAACGCGUGAAGUUGACCGCCUGGGGAGUACGGUCGCAAGAUUAAAACUUAAAGGAAUUGACGGGGUCAUAGCUGUUUCCU